rnacentral:rRNA from 1 species
UGUCGUCAGCUCGUGUCGUGAGAUGUUGGGUUAAGUCCCGCAACGAGCGCAACCCUCAUCCUUAGUUACCAUCAGGUAAUGCUGGGGACUUUAAGGAAACUGCCAGUGAUAAACUGGAGGAAGGUGGGGAUGAUGUCAAGUCAUCAUGGCCCUUAUGGAGUGGGCUACACACNUGCUACAAUGGUGGCUACAAUGGGNUGCAAAGUCNNNAGGCUAAACUNAUCCCUUAAAAGCCAUCUCAGUUCGGAUUGUACUCUGCAACUCGAGUGCAUGAAGUUGGAAUCGCUAGUAAUCGUGGAUCAGCACGCCACGGUGAAUACGUUCUCGGGUCUUGUACACACUGCCCGUCACGCCAUGGGAAUUG